rnacentral:rRNA from 1 species
GCAGUCGAACGGGGCAGGAAGCAGCUUGCUGCUUCGCUGACGAGUGGCGGACGGGUGAGUAAUGUCUGGGAAACUGCCUGAUGGAGGGGGAUAACUACUGGAAACGGUGCUAAUACCGCAAAACGUCGCAAGACCAAAGAGGGGGACCUUCGGGCCUCUUGCCUUCGGAUGUGCCCAGAUGGGAUUAGCUAGUAGGUGGGGUAACGGCUCACCUAGGCCACGAUCCCUAGCUGGUCUGAGAGGAUGACCAGCCACACUGGAACUGAGACACGGUCCAGACUCCUACGGGAGGCAGCAGUGGGGAAUAUUGCACAAUGGGCGCAGGCCUGAUGCAGCCCUGCCGCGUGUAUGAAGAAGGCCUUCGGGUUGUAAAGUACUUUCAGCGGGGAGGAAGGCGACAGGGUUAAUAACCCUGUCGAUUGACGUUACCCGCAGAAUAAGCACCGGCCAACUCCGUGCCAGCAGCCGCGGUAAUACGGAGGGUGCAAGCGUUAAUCGGAAUUACUGGGCGUAAAGCGCACGCAGGCGGUCUGUCAAGUCGGAUGUGAAAUCCCCGGGCUCAACCUGGGAACUGCAUUCGAAACUGGCAGGCUAGAGUCUUGUAGAGGGGGGUAGAAUUCCGGUGUAGCGGUGAAAUGCGUAGAGAUCUGGAGGAAUACCGGUCGCGAAUGCGGCCCCCUGGACUAAGACUGACGCUUGGUGCGAAAGCGUGGGGAGCAACGGAUUAGAUACCCUGGUAGUCCACGCCUACACAUUCCACAUGAAGGUUGUGCCCUUGAGGCGUGCUCCCGGAGCUACGCGUUAAGUCGACCGCCGGGGAGUACGGCCGCAGGGUUAAACUCAUAUGAAUUGACGGGGCCCGCACAAGCGGUGGAGCAUGUGGUUUAAUUCGAUGCAUCGCGAGACCUUACCUACUCUAGACAUCCAGAGAACUUAUCAAGAUUCUUUGGUGCCUUCUGGCACUUCUAGACGAGGUGCUGCAGGUGUCCUCAGCUCGUGUUGUGAAAUGUUGGGGUAUAAUUCCCGCAA